GUAUCAACGAUGAAAAACAUGGGUCGUUUUCGCGUACUCUUCUUCAGGAUAAGCCUGAGAUCACGGAAGAAAUGAUUCGUGGGUAUAUGAGCAAUUCUGAACUUGAGACUGCUAUACAAGACUUUGGGUGGCGCUGUGCUAAUGUCUCUAGGAUAUACAGGACCCGAGCAUCAAGGAGAUGGCGGAGCAGAUCGCCAAGGACCCGUCCUUCAGCGAGAUGCCCCGUAAAUCUACUGUAUGAUCAAUCAAAACACGUUUUGUCCAAAGUCCAAACUUAAUGGUAAACAAGAGGCUAAUCUUGCUAUUUUUGUUUGUUAUGCGGUUUGCACUUUCU